CUUGGCACCUGAAAUCAAGCAAGGUCACCCGCUGAACUUAAGCAUAUCAGUAAGCGGAGGAAAAGAAACUGACAAGGAUUGCCCCAGUAGCGGCGAGUGAACAGGCAGAAGCUCAAAUUGAAAAUCCACGGCAUUAAGUCAUGGAAUUGUAAUCUAUAGGGGUUCUCGGAAGGAACGAAUUUCGCAUAAGUCCCUUGGAAUAGGACGUCAUAGAGGGUGAAAACCCCGUAUAUGGUGAAGUUCGACCGUACGAGAGCUUUCGAAGAGUCGGGUUGUUUGGUAUUGCAGCCCUAAAUGGGAGAUAAACUUCUUCUAAAGCUAAAUAUUUAUGGGAAACCGAUAGCGAACAAGUACUGCGAAGGAAAGGUGAAAAGAACUUUGAAAAGAGGGUUAAAAGACUUGAAACCGUUGAAAAGGAAGCGGUAGAAGAAUAAUUAGAUCAGUCAUGAUAUACUCGUGUGAAAAGUGGCCUAUAAUGUGUAUAGUACCUAAUAAGGCUUGCAUAUUAUCGUGUAACAUAU
rnacentral:rRNA from 1 species